UGCGAUGAUGAGGUAUGUUAUAAUCUCGUUAAUCUGACAAUUUAUGAGGAGAAUUUUUAUAAUCCAUUCUCAACAUACUGAGC